CAGGCAUGAAUGGAAGUAUUCUCAUACCUUUGCUGCCCCCUGUUGUCGGACUUGGCAACGGCACCUUAGUGUUGGUCUUGCGCUUGGAGCGAGGUGCACUGACCUUAUUUCUCCUGCGGGGCGAAGGGGAUACCUCAGUCUCGGAUUCUGUCUCACUGUAACACUCUGUGUUGAAUGCACAUGCACAGUCAAGCAGAACUGAAUGAUUAGAGUGGAUGAGUCUCUUUCAAUGACCUGCGCAGUGAAGGAGCACUGGCCUGGGCCUCUGCGACACAGUGAGCC